rnacentral:tRNA from 1 species
AGCGGGGUAGGGAAGCUUGGAGUUCCCGCUGGGCUCAUAACCCAGAGACCGGUGGUUCAAAUAUUCGAAUCUGCGUUGGUUUGAGUUGGUACUCCACUCCACGCUA